rnacentral:rRNA from 1 species
AAAUGAAUUGACGGGGGCCCGCACAAGCGGAGGAACAUGUGGUUUAAUUCGAUGAUACGCGAGGAACCUUACCUGGAUUUAAAUGUGCUUGACCGCCUCAGAAAAGGGGUUUUCCGCAAGGACAAGUACAAGGUGCUGCAUGGUUGUCGUCAGCUCGUGCCGUGAGGUGUCGGGUUAAGUCCCAUAACGAGCGCAACCCACGUUGUUAGUUACCAGCAUGUAAUGAUGGGGACUCUAACAAGACUGCCGGUGUAAACCGUGAGGAAGGUGUGGAUGACGUCAAAUCAGCACGGCCCUUACAUCCAGGGCUACACACGUGUUACAAUGGCCGGUACAGAGGGCAGCUACCUAGCGAUAGGAUGCCAAUCUUCAAAACCGGUCUCAGUUCGGAUCGAAGUCUGCAACCCGACUUCGUGAAGCUGGAUUCGCUAGUAAUCGCAUAUCAGCCAUGAUGCGGUGAAUACGUUCCCGGGCCUUGUACACACCGCCCGU